rnacentral:rRNA from 1 species
GAUGAACGCUGGCGGCGUGCCUAAUACAUGCAAGUCGAGCGAACGGACGAGAAGCUUGCUUCUCUGAUGUUAGCGGCGGACGGGUGAGCAACACGUGGAUAACCUACCUAUAAGACUGGGAUAACUUCGGGAAACCGGAGCUAAUACCGGAUAAUAUUUUGAACCGCAUGGUUCAAAGGUGAAAGACGGUCUUGCUGUCACUUAUAGAUGGAUCCGCGCUGCAUUAGCUAGUUGGUAAGGUAACGGCUUACCAAGGCAACGAUGCAUAGCCGACCUGAGAGGGUGAUCGGCCACACUGGAACUGAGACACGGUCCAGACACCUACGGGAGGCAGCAGUAGGGAAUCUUCCGCAAUGGGCGAAAGCCUGACGGAGCAACGCCGCGUGAGUGAUGAAGGUCUUCGGAUCGUAAAACUCUGUUAUUAGGGAAGAACAUAUGUGUAAGUAACUGUGCACAUCUUGACGGUACCUAAUCAGAAAGCCACGGCUAACUACGUG